rnacentral:rRNA from 1 species
CUUGCUUCCUCGAUCGAGUGGCGGACGGGUGAGUAACGCGUGAGGAACCUGCCUUUCAGAGGGGACAACAGCUGGAAACGGCUGCUAAUACCGCAUAAGACCACGCUAUCGCAUGAUAGAGAGGUCAAAGAUUUAUCGCUGAUAGAUGGGCUCGCGUCCCAUUAGGUAGUUGGUGAGGUAAUGGCCCACCAAGCCGACGAUCGGUAGCCGACCUGAGAGGGUGAUCGGCCACAUUGGGACUGAGACACGGCCCAAACUCC